rnacentral:rRNA from 1 species
UUCGAUUAGAGUUUGAUCCUGGCUCAGAAUGAACGCUGGCGGCGUGCUUAACACAUGCAAGUCGCACGAGAACGCUUCAGCUUGCUGAAGUUAGUAAAGUGGCGCACGGGUGAGUAACGCGUGGGUAAUCUACCCCCGAAUUGGGGAUAACAUUGCGAAAGCGAUGCUAAUACCGAAUGAUAUCUUAAGAACCUCGGUUUUUAAGAUCAAAGGUGGCCUCUACAUGAAAGCUUCUGUUUGGGGAUGAGCCCGCGUACCAUUAGCUUGUUGGUAGGGUAAUGGCCUACCAAGGCUACGAUGGUUAGCUGGUCUGAGAGGAUGAUCAGCCACACUGGAACUGACACACGGUCCAGACUCCUACGGGAGGCAGCAGUGAGGAAUUUUGCGCAAUGGGGGAAACCCUGACGCAGCAACGCCGCGUGAGUGAUGAAGGCUUUCGGGUCGUAAAGCUCUGUCAAGUGGGAAGAAACCACAUGGUGAUAAUACCGCCAUGUGUUGACGGUACCACUGAAGGAAGCACCGGCUAACUCCGUGCCAGCAGCCGCGGUAAUACGGGGGGUGCAAGCGUUAUUCGGAAUUACUGGGCGUAAAGAGCGCGUAGGCGGUCUUUUAAGUCAGGUGUGAAAGCCCGGGGCUCAACCCCGGAAGUGCACUUGAAACUAAGGGACUUGAGUAUGGGAGAGGGAAGUGGAAUUCCUGGUGUAGCGGUGAAAUGCGUAGAUAUCACGAGGAACACCGGUGGCGAACGCGACUUCCUGGACCAAUACUGACGCUGAGGCGCGAAGGCGUGGGGAGCAAACAGGAUUAGAUACCCUGGUAGUCCACGCAGUAAACGGUGAACACUAGGUGUAGCGGGUAUUGACCCCUGCUGGGCCGCAGCA